UCGUCCUGCUGUCUCUGUCAUCCUGGCUUGUUUGUUUGGGUUCUCUUACUCCCUCUUUCUUCUUCUCUGUCUGCACUGCACACCUCCUCUUCUAACAGUUAUUGUUAUUCCUUUCCUUUCACACAGUCUCUGAGCAGUACAUUUCAUCUGAUUGGAAUGCUUCAGGACAGCCUAACCCUGACUCGAGGCUCUUGUCUGACAGAAAGGCAUCCACAAAGAGAAAAAGAGCUUGGCAGAACAGCUCCACCUUUUCAGUCUGCCAAUGGGACUGAACAGGUCCUCAGUCCAGAGAACUGACCUGAUUUUAAGAGCCACGGUUGUACGCAAUAAAUAGCUGAUAUAAACAGCUUUAUUUCUACAUGGUCUGCGACUCACCGUGAUAAUUGCAUGGUCAUCCCAGAUGAAAAAUGAGCCCCUCUUCAGUUGGGCAGGAGCACUUGAAGCCAAUGAGUUUGGAAAUUUGGACGCGCCAGUAACAAACAGGAAACCAUAUUCAUUACACUAAAGUCAGAGUUUGAUUAUGGUUCAUGGGGAUUUGCCAGUCAUUUGGGCUUUUUUUAGAGCAUGUAUACUGUUAACUGUAAUUCAGACUGGCAGUUAUAUUACAUUCAAUUUCUGCCAAGCUCUGCCUCUGCCGACAGAAGGAAAAAAAACGUUUUCUUGAUUUAGCAAAGAAGUUUAUUGCAUACUUGGAUUCAUCUGAUGAAACAAACUCAUUGCACCAAAGCGUGAGCAGGUUGCCUAAGAUGUUCUCUCAGCUAGACAGCUGUGUGAAGUCUCUCGCUUUAUUUUUCUAAUUCUCUCAAUGUUGUGCAAAAGCCCAGUUUAAUGAUGCAAUUAUGGAUGACAGUACAGCAUAGGAGU